CCGGGUUAAUAAAAGGAUCUGCCGUCCUGCUCAACCUCCUUUUCAGUUGAGCACGGCUGGGUGUAUCGGAUCAUGUCAAGGGACUCUGUGGAUUUUGAAAGCUUUAGAGACAGACCAUGGAGGCCUGGAGGGAAUGGAGCCUGAUGGUAUUAUUGAGAGCAACUGGAAAGAAAUUACCGAAAAUUUUGAUGACAUGAACCUGAAGGAGGCCCUCAAGGGGAAUCUGUGCCUGGUUUUGAGAAACCAUCGGCAGUUCAGCAAAGGGCAAACCUUCCAUGCAUCAUAGGUCAUCCUGGCUCUAGGCGAUUACUUGGGUGCCACGCCUGCAUUGGAGGCACGGACGUCAGAAACGAUAUGCGUAAGCUGCCGGGCAAAGCUACCCACAUAGUGGUCGGAACCCCAGGGACGAGUGUUCGACAUGCUCAACAGAGGAGGUACCUGUCUCCCAGGUUCAUCAAGAUGUUUGUCUUGGGUGAGGCGGAUGACAUGUUGAGUCGAGGAUUCAAGGACCAAAUCUGAGAUUUUUCACAAAUUACUUUCUAACAAGUGAGUCCCUUUUUAAAGACUUGAUUAAUAAGAACUGUAGCCAAAUUGUCAAUCAUGGUGAUCGUUUUGUGGCUUAUAUUGUAGUGAAUCUUAAAUUAAGUGGUGAUUGGUUGAGGACAUCAAGGUUUCAAAUCCAUCUUUAAAAAAAUCACAAAUGCAUAAACAAAUAUUUUGGUGCUUACUAGAGAAAUAUUUCAACCAUGCAUGUAUAACUGAUUCUUCUGUGUUAAAGAACCAUGCUAAAAUUUCCUAAAUCAAGUCGUCUUGGUUUAUGAAAUAAUGCUAGCAAGGUAGUAGGUGGAGGUAGAAUAUUUAGUACUGCACUGCAAAUGAGAUUUGGGCGGACCUCUUAAUGUCCGGUGUCCUGUGUCUCAAAGUCUAGUGCCACAAAUUCAUUCUUAGGAGGUCGAAGAAGUGUUCACGUGAAGCCGAGAUUAUAACCUCCCUUUCGCCUUAGGUGGUGCUCCUCUCUGCUACGAUGCCAGCUGACGUGUUGGAAGUGGCCAAAAUUUAUGCGCCAACCAGUUUGCAUCCUUGUUAAAGGAGGAGCUUACUUUGGAAGGUAUCAAGAAAUUCUACAUCAAUAUGGAGAGGGAGGAAUGGGAGGGGCGAGAUGUGAUUGAGAGAUUAGGUCUGGAUCUAGCAGAGUUUUGAUCACUACAGACUUGCUGAAUCGGUCGGAGGUCGUUUGGCAGGAAAGUAGUCGUCAUCAACUUCGUCACCGAGAAAGCUAAGAGGAUCCUCCAGGAUAUCGAGACUUUCUACAAUACAGCCGUCGAGAUGCCAAUGAACGUGGCCGACCUGAUUUGACCCUUUCGGACAAGAUUUCGAUUAAAUAUAUUAAAUGUGGACAAUAUUUAAGAACCUCUAAAUUGUUUAAUUGACUGGUUUCAGAAUAAAAUUAAUGUAUGGUUACUUUUUCUUUUCCUGAAUGAUUCUUUGAAUUGUACAUUUUCAUUUUCCCUUAAAGUACUUGUAUCUGGAAGUCUGUACCACUUCCAUUCAUAAAAUUGGGUUACCAAUAAAAUAUCUGUUUAAUAUUUUUGAGUGCUGAAAGACUGCCUUAACAUACCUGUCCUGAUUGCCCCAUGGGUUUUGGCAAAUCUUCAGUUUGGCUAUUUUUCCUGCAACAUUUGCACCCCCACCUUUUGUUUUCAUGGGGGGAAUGGUAGUCAUGAUCUUUAAAACCAAUUGGCCAUUUGGGCUGACCGUAAUGGAGGUGGUCUAGAUAUUAAGGGCAUGGAUUGUUCUGCUUUGCAUGACUGAACCUAAUGAUUUUGGCACAAAUGUGGCUGUACACCUAGUAUCACUGCCUACUGUUUUUGAAGCUGUACUAUGACCACACAGUAUACUUGUGGUAGCAAUAGGUUUAAGUGUCUGUGCAUUUUCAGGGUUAUAGGAGAAUUUGGGUAUCACUAGGUGCCUUCACACACCCCACAAUGAUUUGUAAAGUACAGUACCAUGAAUUACGCAUGCUAUUUGAUAGCGAGGUGUGCUGGUUUGUUUUCACCGGACCCAAGAUACCCAGUGAAGCGAGUUGGCAGUCUAAUCGGCAAGUGCCGAGUCAUGCAGUCUGUAGCUGUAGGAGUUAAUACCAGCGGUGUAAAACGUGAAAUAAAUGCACUCGGUCCUG